rfam:Myotis lucifugus cont2.33118, whole genome shotgun sequence.
GGUGGUUCUCAGGUGACACACCUCAGAAUCAGGCUCCCUCCUCCCUGGUUCUGGGUGCAUCACCCGAGAACUGCA